AGUUGCGUGAGUUAAUAAUAUUCCAGUUGCGUGAUUCCUGAAACAGGUGUUUGCAGUUAACUGUAAAAUGGUACGAGUAGGGAAUGACUUCCUGACUAAUCGUGUUUGCAGUGAACAACACCAUGGUCUCGGAUUAUAUAUGAGCCUAAGAUGCUUUCAGGAAGAGUUGGCAGCAGGCUGGCAGACAUUCAAAAGCGCAGAGCUUCAGCAAACUUUCGUGAGGACAAAGGGGAUCUAUUUAUGCAGAAAGUCAACAGUGGACUGUUGAAGAAGCAUUGUGGAUGAAGGGUGCGUAGCGCUUACCAGCAAGAAUUCUUGCUUUCCUUUUUGACUCUGCAUUGCAACGAACAAAAGACAAUGUCAGAUCCGAGCAAGAUUAAGCUGAUUUAACACAGAUCUGCCAGAGCACAAAAGUAUUACAUUCUACUCGAAAUAACAAAGCAGAUUCCACUGGAGAUUACCCCCCCCUCCAAAGACAACUCAUGCAAAGAAAAUCAACCACAAACCGAGAAAUUUUGGCUGCUGUUUUCAUUCGAUCGAUCAGGUUGUUUAAAACUUAGUGGUGUUCAGCAAUAGUAAUAUGGAGUUGUAUUUGUAUAAACUCAAUUGAACCAUAUGCUGCGUGGCCCCGUAGCAAGAGUACUCUAUUGUUGUUUGUUUCCUUCUUGUGUUGAAAUUCGCAGACAAAUAGUUUUAAUAGUGGAGCAUGGCACACGAGAUCUUCCUUUCUGUCCUCUCUCUCUCCUUUUUUAUCACACAGAAACUUGCUGCUCUUCAUGCGUAAGACCGACUCCGGUAGAUAUCGGAUUCGCAUUCCCAUUUUACGAGGUACAGUAUGUAGAACUCACACAAAACUCUUCCUAUCUAUUUCUUUUCUCCAGCGGCUCUUCCUAUUCCAGCUCGCAUUUGCAACUGUCGCUGCCUCCUGCCAAGAUAAAAGGAGGGACGAUGCAGCCGUACUGUGGGACGGUUGUUUGAUUUGGAUUUAGGGGGAUGAGAGAGAAAACGCAGAAAAAGGAAGUGUCGCGAGCCCCUCACAAUAAGGAAGUGUCGUGAGCCCCUCACAAUUUGCGAAGAUAGAUACGGGCUCUGUUGGAACGAUAAACAAUAGCUAUUCUUUAUCUAUUUUACACGUGCGAAUCCAAAUAGAAACUUUGCUGGGCUCAGCCUAAUAAACAUGAUGCAGGAGGAAAGUUCCAGAGGGCACGUAAUCAAUUGGCCUUUGGUCAAGAACUUGGGUACUGUUUGGUUCAAGAAAUGUAACGCAAAUGGUAAUGGUAAUGGUUUACGUUCGAUUACUGGCGGUAACAAAUUUGAAUAGGCUGAUAUCAAUUUUUA